rnacentral:rRNA from 1 species
UACAGAGGUCUCAAGCGUUGUUCGGAUUCAUUGGGCGUAAAGGGUGCGUAGGUGGCAUGGUAAGUCGGAUGUGAAAUCCCGGGGCUCAACCCCGGAACUGCAUUCGAUACUGCUGAGCUAGAGUACUGGAGAGGAGAUUGGAAUUCCCGGUGUAGCGGUGAAAUGCGUAGAUAUCGGGAAGAACACCAAAGGCGAAAGCGCUCUGCUGGGCCGAAACUGACACUGAGAGACGAAAGCUAGGGGAGCGAAUGGG